AACAAACAUCUAAAGCAACAAAGCCAACAGCAAAGUUUGUUUCUGAUCAGAAAGGUGUGUUAAAUGCUGAGCCUGCCAGUGGCUGAAGUCACAGAGCUCCAUUCCUGCCUGGACUUUGCUCCUGUGACUUCACCCCUUUGUCCUGGACAAGAGCAGGAUUCUCCAGGCACGGCCCUCUCAUUGUGGGAAGAGCUGCAGUUCUGCUUCUGAGCCUUUGCUCUUGCUCAGGAAAUUCAGUGUUGGGGGAGUAAGCAGAGCUCCAGAACCUGAAGCCAAUGCAGUAAAAGCUGUCCUGCCAUGGAGGAGUGGGAGGGAGAGUGGCAGGGAAAAAUCCCAGUUAGGGACCAAGGAUCAUGAAAGCAGAGAAUAGGAUCCGAGUUCCAUUGGCAGUUUCUGUCUGUCGGGCACACGCUGGACCUGCAGGAUCUCGCAGAGUGGUGGCGCUGAUCCUGCUGGUGAGUGAGGGACAUGGACGUGGAGCUUCACGAGUGCGGGGUGUGUACCCAGACUUCUUUGCUUCCCUAGCCCGAGGUGGCUUUGUAGUCCAGAGAGCAAGUUCCCUCACGUAGGAACAGCUCUGAGCUGUUAACUUCUCUUUGGUUUAGUGGUGAUGGAUUCGGGGCUAUGCUGGACUUUGGGGUGGAUGUAAAGCUUGUGAACUCUCUGGUCUUUCUGUAAAAAGUUUCCUGCUGUCAUCGAUCACCUUUUUUUUUUUAAAUUUUUUUCUUUUCUUUUUAAGUCUAGGGAAGCAUUAAGUGAGUACAAGGUAAUUGAAAUCAAGGUUUAGGGAAUGUUACAGGUGUGUUUCCUCAUGGCUCCUCUGGACAAAACUGUAGUACCCAAGUACCCUAAAAGGCCUUAAGAUGCUGCUGCAGAAGUUAUCUUCUGAUUCACUUUUUCACCUCCUCAGAACAUUCAACUCCUUGAAAGACCUUUUCAUUGCAAUUCUUUAUUUAAUAAAUGGAAACUGCAUGGCUUCA
rnacentral:lncRNA from 1 species